UGCCACUUCUAAGCCUGACUGUUGUCACGU
rnacentral:piRNA from 1 species